rnacentral:rRNA from 1 species
UUUAUGGAGAGUUUGAUCCUGGCUCAGGAUGAACGCUGGCGGCGUGCCUAAUACAUGCAAGUCGAGCGAACGGACGAGAAGCUUGCUUCUCUGAUGUUAGCGGCGGACGGGUGAGUAACACGUGGAUAACCUACCUAUAAGACUGGGAUAACUUCGGGAAACCGGAGCUAAUACCGGAUAAUAUUUCGAACCGCAUGGUUCAAAAGUGAAAGACGGUCUUGCU